rnacentral:snoRNA from 1 species
UGGAUCGAUGAUGACUUCUGGUGGCGUAUGAGUCAUAUACGAUGAAUACGUGUCAAUCUCUGAGGUCCAA